rnacentral:rRNA from 1 species
UGGGGAAUUUUGGACAAUGGGGGCAACCCUGAUCCAGCAAUGCCGCGUGUGUGAAGAAGGCCUUCGGGUUGUAAAGCACUUUUGUCCGGAAAGAAAACGCCGUGGUUAAUACCCGUGGCGGAUGACGGUACCGGAAGAAUAAGCACCGGCUAACUACGUGCCAGCAGCCGCGGUAAUACGUAGGGUGCAAGCGUUAAUCGGAAUUACUGGGCGUAAAGCGUGCGCAGGCGGUCCGCUAAGACAGAUGUGAAAUCCCCGGGCUUAACCUGGGAACUGCAUUUGUGACUGGCGGGCUAGAGUAUGGCAGAGGGGGGUAGAAUUCCACGUGUAGCAGUGAAAUGCGUAGAGAUGUGGAGGAAUACCGAUGGCGAAGGCAGCCCCCUGGGCCAAUACUGACGCUCAUGCACGAAAGCGUGGGGGAGCAAACAGGAUUAGAUACCCUGGUAGUCCACGCCCUAAACGAUGUNAACUAGUUNUGGGGAUUCAUUUCCUUAGUAACGUAGCUAACCGCGUGAAGUUGACCGCCUGGGGAGUAC